rnacentral:rRNA from 1 species
GACGAACGCUGGCGGCGUGCCUAAUACAUGCAAGUCGAGCGGACCUCUUCGGAGGUCAGCGGCGGACGGGUGAGUAACACGUGGGCAACCUGCCUGUAAGACUGGGAUAACACCGGGAAACCGGUGCUAAUACCGGAUAAUCCUUCUCCUCUCAUGAGGGGAAGCUGAAAGACGGUUUCGGCUGUCACUUACAGAUGGGCCCGCGGCGCAUUAGCUAGUUGGUGGGGUAACGGCCCACCCAGGCGACGAUGCGUAGCCGACCUGAGAGGGUGAUCGGCCACACGAGGACCGAGACACGGCCCAGAAUCCUACGGGAGGCAGCAGUAGGGAAUCUUCCGCAAUGGACGAAAGUCUGACGGCGCAACGCCGCGUGAGCGAAGAAGGCCUUCGGGUCGUAAAGCUCUGUUGUCAGGGAAGAACACGUACCGGAGUAACUGCCGGUACCUUGACGGUACCUGACCAGAAAGCCACGGCUAACUACGUGCCAGCCGCCGCCGUAAUAC